AUACAGAGGGGGCAAGCGUUAUUCGGAAUUAUUGGGCGUAAAGGGCGCGUAGGCGGCUUUGCAAGUGGCGGGUGAAAUCCCUCGGCUUAACCGAGGAACUGCCUGCCAGACUGUGAGGCUUGAGACCGGGAGAGGUGAGUGGAAUUCCCAGUGUAGCGGUGAAAUGCGUAGAUAUUGGGAGGAACACCAGUGGCGAAGGCGGCUCACUGGACCGGAACUGACGCUGAGGCGCGAAAGCGUGGGGAGCAAACAG
rnacentral:rRNA from 1 species